GGCAAUAUUAGGUUGGGCGAGCUCCAUCUCCUGUCCCCUAAGGGUUCAGCCUCUGAUGCUGCCCCCCCAGGGAGCAACAGCUCUGUGGUGACAGUGGUACUGAUGGGGGCCCCUCCCACCGCGAACACCCCCUGCUGUUUUCAGUAGUGUGGGCUAAUUGCAAACUAUGUUUUCCAAGGCAUCCUUUCUUGUGAUUUCUGGAGUUUGAGCUGACCUGGAGAGGACUCCUCCCAGCAGUCUGGCUUUGCGUGGUCCUCGCCUGUGCCCGGCCAGCCGGAUCUGCAUCAGGUCCAUGAGUUGCCUCCGCCUGCUUGUCACCACCACCUCUCCUCUCCUAAACAAGUCCUUAGGUUUCAACUUCACUCAUCCUUUGGGAGGAGCCGGGAGCUCUCUGUCUUCCUGCCUGUGUCUGUUUGCAGGCCUGAUCCACGGGCCAGGGCUCUGGAGCUGGGCCGGGCAGCGAGGCUUCCUUCUGCUGAGCACCAUGGCCGCAGCCGUGUCCUCAGCAGGGCGCUCCAGCCCUGGAUCCACAGCCUGCCACGGCGAGGGCCCGGCCUCUGGGACACACACAGCCCUGGGUGUGCAGCCUGCCACGGCGAGGGCCCGGCCUCUGGGACACGCACAGCCCUGGGUGUGCAGCCUGCCACGGCGAGGGCCCGGCCUCUGGGACGCGCACAGCCCUGGGUGCGCAGCCUGCCACAGCGAGGGCCCGGCCUCUGGGACGCGCACAGCCCUGGGUGUGCAGCCUGCCACAGCAAGGGCCCGGCCUCUCGGACACGCACAGCCCUGGGUGCGCAGCCUGCCAUGGCGAGGGCCCGGCCUCUGGGACGCGCACAGCAGGUGGAACAGCAGCGGCAGCAGGGGACAGGUCAUCAGGGGAAGCCCCCCCCCGGUGUGGGCCAGGUGACAGGGACGCCGCCUGGGCUGCUGCGGUCUGCAGACCCCGUUCCAAGCUGCCGAAGCCCUCCUGCCCGGAGUCUGUGUGUCUUCCCCAGGGUGACGACACACAGAAGAAAGACUGUUCUGGAAGAAUAGUGAAUCCAAGUGGCCGUCGCUCAUCAUACCCAUGAUGCCCCACCAGAGCUCUGUCCAUCACCUUCUCUACCCUGGAAAUAGCGGCUCUCAAGAAAAAAUAAACAUUUUAAGUCUCACGGUUUUCCCGUGGAC
rnacentral:lncRNA from 1 species